GACGAACGCUGGCGGCGUGCUUAACACAUGCAAGUCGAGCGGAAAGGCCCUGCCUUUGUGGGGUGCUCGAGUGGCGAACGGGUGAGUAACACGUGAGUAACCUGCCCUUGACUUUGGGAUAACUUCAGGAAACUGGGGCUAAUACCGGAUAGGAGCUCCUGCUGCAUGGUGGGGGUUGGAAAGUUUCGGCGGUUGGGGAUGGACUCGCGGCUUAUCAGCUUGUUGGUGGGGUAGUGGCUUACCAAGGCUUUGACGGGUAGCCGGCCUGAGAGGGUGACCGGCCACAUUGGGACUGAGAUACGGCCCAGACUCCUACGGGAGGCAGCAGUGGGGAAUAUUGCACAAUGGGCGGAAGCCUGAUGCAGCAACGCCGCGUGCGGGAUGACGGCCUUCGGGUUGUAAACCGCUUUCGCCUGUGACGAAGCGUGAGUGACGGUAAUGGGUAAAGAAGCACCGGCUAACUACGUG
rnacentral:rRNA from 1 species